UACGUAGGGUGCAAGCGUUGUCCGGAAUUAUUGGGCGUAAAGAGCUCGUAGGCGGUUUGUCGCGUCUGCUGUGAAAUCUGGGGGCUCAACCCCCAGCCUGCAGUGGGUACGGGCAGACUAGAGUGCGGUAGGGGAGAUUGGAACUCCUGGUGUAGCGGUGGAAUGCGCAGAUAUCAGGAGGAACACCGAUGGCGAAGGCAGAUCUCUGGGCCGUAACUGACGCUGGAGGAGCGAAAGCAUGGGGAGCGAACAGG
rnacentral:rRNA from 1 species